CACACACACACACACACACACACACACACACACACACACACACACAAUGAUGUCAUUCAGGAAGGUCAACAGCACAGGGCCGCCCUGCCGG